GCGCCUGUGGCGGAAUUGGUAGACGCGCUAGACUUAGGAUCUAGUGGUGAAUGCCGUGCAGGUUCGAGUCCUGUCAGGCGCACUA
rnacentral:tRNA from 1 species